CUAAACUCAUUACCAGUGGCAGUGUCGUAUAAGGAGGGGGGAGGGGAAGGUCCGCUUUAAGUAGGAGAACCAAGUAACAUUGUCCAUCACACCUCCCAUUUAAUCACCAUUUUAUUUUGCUGCUACUCAAUGUGCUCAUUAGCAGCCCUACAACCGGGCGGUGACAAGCUCGACAGUCCUAGAAUG